rnacentral:lncRNA from 1 species
UGUUUUUUUUAAUUUUUUUUUUUUUUGUUAAUGGUCAGUAUAUUGAAGCACUAAAUUGUGGUUGGUUUCAGAUUUUAACUACAUAUAUUCAAGAUUGCUCCUUUUUUUGUGUUUUUUUUUUAGAAUCAAGAAUGUAAGUGAACAUAUUAAAAUUUUGUUCUUUUUCCAGGUUAUUGUCAUUUUGUGCAAAAAGGGGGUGUUUUUCUAAUCUAUAAGAGUUGUUCUGGUGAUUUAUUGAGUUGAAAAAUGCCGGAUAUUGAGAGACUUGUGAAUGAUUUUGUUGCAAAGCUCAGCAAACGGUUAGUACUGCAGUUAUAGGAAAUAUCUGAAAGAAUCACUUGUUUGAUUUGAUUGGCUAAUAUGGUUAUCUGCUUUUCUGUUUUUGAAUGAUAGUAAGGUUGAAGGGUCACAAGCAACUUCGCGGCUAACAGCAGAGUUGCUUCGUUCUGUAGUUUCGUUGCAAAGAUUGCCACCUACUAACUCAGCUGCAGUGCUCAUUGAGGCUGUGAGCGGUAUAGGUGUUAAAUUGGUUGCUGCCAACCCUGUUGGUAAGCGUUUUAUCCGCUAAUACAUGAAUGAGGAUCUGCUUGUAGAUAUUUUGAUGUUCUAGAAUGGAAUUUAUUUUUUUAAGUAUACGAGUUAUUCAAUCCUAGUUGGUAGUGGAAAUUUGGAUGCUGGGGAUUUCUUUUAAGCGUAUAGGUUGGGACAGGAUAUUUGUCUCUGUUAUGCAGUCUUCUUGUGUUCCAAAUGAACGGAAAAAUUCUUUCAAUGAUAUAUUUGCUUCGUGUCUAGUUUGAUACCAGUUGCUUCACUUGCUCAAAAUAUAGAAAAAAAUUGGAUAUGCCUGAUUAACUAGUUGUGUUAACUUUGUUUACUAGUCAUGUGUAGGAGUAGGAGUAGGAGUAGGACUUAUUUGAUCUAUGGGUUUAGUGUAAGUCAUUAACUGCAGCUGCUGCUCCAUUUGUUUGUUUCAUUUUAGGACUCGAAUGCUGUUAACAUGUAGUGCUAUACUUUUUUUUUGUUGAAAUGGUAACAACUUUGUAUUAAAAUCAUAAAAAGGCUGUGAAAGCCAUAAUUAAGGAGAAACUGAAGCAAAAUAUAAACUGUGAGUUCCCAGUGAAACGAUUUGAGUGUGUUGAGGAAUUCAGUGAUUCUGUCCACCUCCCAAUCAUUUAAGAGUCUCCUGAACUGUAGUUCCAACCUUGAUUUGAGUGUUGGGUGUACUUCUGCACAUUUUCUUAGGCAUGAACCCCAUGUCUCAUUAUUUGUCAGUCCAAUUACUAAAGGAUGUGUAUAUAUAUGUAAAAGGGCCCGGUGCACGAACAUCCUGCGUUCACGCAGGGUCCGGGGAAAGGUCACAUCUGAAGGUGUUGUGUAGGAAGCUAUCCUGACGCAAGCAUCCGUCACUAAUUUCACUGCUUGAGCCCGUUGAUUUCAAUGCAAGGAUUGUCAACAGUACUUCAAAUUGAUACCAGUUGCUUCACUUGCUCGAAGUAUAGAAAAAAUUGGAUAUGCCUGAUUAACUAGUUGUGUUAACUUUGUUUACUAGUCAUGUGUAGGAGUAGGACUUAUUUGAUCUAUGGUUUAGUGUAAGUCAUUAACUGCAGCUGCUGCUCCUUUUGUUUGUUUCAUUUUAGGACUCGAAUUCUGCUAACAUGUAGUGCUCUACUUUUUUUUUUGUUGAAAUGGUAACAACUUCGUAUUAUAAUCACAAAAAGGCUGUGAAAGCCAUAAUUAAGGAGAAAGUGAAGCAAAAUAUAAACUUUGAGUUCCCAGUGAAACGAUUUGAGUGUGUUGAGGAAUUCAGUGGCUCUGUCCGCCUCCCAAUCAUUUAAGAGUCUCCUGAAACUGAAGUUCCAACCUUGAUUGCUCCAAAUGUCAACCCUUUGUUUUUUAUUUAAAAUGAAAACAUUCGGAUAUAAGAGCUUGAGAGAGCCAUCUCCUAUACAGUUGUCCUCCCAAAAGGAUGUUUCAAGUCGAUUACCAACUUUAGUGCUUAUCUUGCUGCUGAAAAUUUGCCAGAGAUUUCUGAUAGUCUUCUGGACACUGACCCCAUACACAAUGUUGAUUGAUUUUGUCUUCUAUGGUCUUCAUCUCCAUAAUUAUCUUUGAUCACCUUCUUCCACAAAGAUUGAUCUUUGUUGGAAUAUCUCCAUAAUCACUUCAUGAGCAGACUUUGAUUCUGCUUUCUAAGGUUCUUUAUACCUAGUCCUCCUUGCUUUUUACCGAGGGUAAGAGUUUUCCACUUCACAAGGUGGAAGCCUCUUCUUUCCUUGCCAUAAAAGUUUCCUUGUUACUCUCCUCCCUCUGUCAAAGCUAAGACAUAUACCUCUGCUAUGCUAACUAUUUGCACACAUGCACAUUUAGGGAGAGGAGGAGGAGGGAGAAAUGGUGCCCUAGUUUCGAUUUAUUUCACUGUUUAGGUGUGCUUCUGCACAUUUUCUUAGGCUUGAACCCCAUGUCUCAUUAUUCGUCACUCCACUUACUAAAGGAUGUGUAUAUAUAUGUAAAAUGGCCCGGUGCACGAACAUCCUGCGUUCAUGCAGGGUCCGGGGAACAGUCACACCUGAAGGGGGUGUAGUGUAGGAAGCCUAUCUUGACGCAAACAUCAGUCACUUAAUUUCACUGCUUGAACCCAUUGAUUUCAAUGCAAGGAUUGUCAACAGUACUUCAAAUUGAGAAUUUAUAGUAAAUUAAUGACUUCUGAAUUCUGAUAGCACUCUAGAUUAAGUAAUCAUAUUUAUUUAUGCCAAGAAUGAUAUAACCAAAAUUUGAUGAAAUUGCAGAGCUUGCUGUUGGAAAUAUUGUUAGGCGUGUUCUUCAUAUUAUCCGGGAGGAGGAUCUCUCUCUUUUGACCAGUAAAACGAGCGACUUAGAUUUAUCAGCUGCAAGUGAUGAUGAAGGAACCAUAGACCAGGAUUAUGACCCAACUCAAUCUGCUGCCGCAGCUGCAGCUGCAGCUAAGAGUUUUCUACGGCCUCCUUCAUUGCAUGCACUUCUGGAGAAUAUGUCGGAUAAAGCUGUACCGAGUAACAAUUACACCUCCUCUUCAGGUGGAGAUUCUGAAGAGAAAACCAAAGGUAAAUGCUCCUGUGCUACAUGAAUUUGAAGCAAUCUAGUCAUUUUUUAGUUUCAGUACUGAAUUAUCUGUUAUUCUGUGUUGCAGCUGAUAAACUUGCCAGGACUCGGAAGUUAAAGCAUGAUGUUAUUGAGGCAAUUAACAUAUUAAUUGAAGAUAUUGAUACUUGUCAUGAUCUGAUUGCAGAACAGGCAGUUGAGCAUAUUCACCAAAAGUAUUUACCUUUCGCAUGUACUGGAAAAUGUGUCUUCAUUUUGUUAUGCACACUACAUAUUUCAAGUAACAUUGUAGCAUGAUUUGAACACAUGCAAUGGAUAUUGUCGUUUCACUGUUCCCCAUAGUUUGUUGUCCAGGGGUUUUCCCUUUGCAGUUCACAAAAAAAUUAUGAUAGGUUACUCAAGACUUACAGCUUGGGUGCGAGGAAAAUGCUACUUCCCUUGAUGGAUAGACAUUUUAUCUGAUAAAUUAACACAUUUUCUUCAUCAGUGAAAAAUCUACUGUUCCAACCUUACUGUGAAAAUGACAAAGAUAGGUUUGUAGCUUAAACAUUUUGCAAAAUAUGUGGUUGCUUUCCUUCUUUACAUUGCUCCGGGGUGAUAUUGUUACAAUCAUUAUUGCAAGGCAAUUUUUUUUGUUGUUUUAACUUUCACCUCUAAUGUAUUUAUUUGUUCUUUUUCACUCUCUUUUCUAGGCAUAUAGCUGCAUAGUUGUGGUGAAUGUAUGUAAUUUAAUUAAAAUGUGAUAGCUAAUUAACAAAUGCAUUUUUUUCAGUGAAGUAAUACUAACACUAGGUAGUUCGAGAACUGCCUUUGAAUUCCUCUGUGCCGCAAAAGAGAAAAAACGGUCUUUUCGGGUGGUUGUUGCAGAGGGCGCACCGAGGUUUGUGGAGUAUUCUGUAAUUUCCGAGAAAUAAAUGAAACAUGAACCUUCUUUUUCAUUGUAACUGUAAAAUUUCCCCUCUUUGUUUGUGCUUGAUCAGGUACCAGGGGCAUGCUCUUGCAAAAGAGCUGGUAUCAAGAGGUCUACAAACUAUAGUUGUAACAGAUUCUGCUGUUUUCGCAAUGAUUUCUAGAGUAAAUAUGGUAACUUUCUGGAUUGGCUAUUUUUAUGCGUUGUACCAAUCUGUAACCUUGUUCUGCUGCUUCGGCUACCUGCGCUCAGAACCGUAACCUUGUUCUGUAGGUUAUAGUGGGAGUUCAUGCAGUGAUGGCCAAUGGUGGUGUCAUUGCACCUGUUGGAAUGAACAUGGUUGCACUUGCCGCUCAAAAGCAUGCUGUUCCAUUUGUCGUAGUUGCUGGCAUUCACAAGGUAUCUGAGCUUUAUUAUCUCUACGUAUUACUCCCUCCAUUUCAAUUUGUUUGUCUUACUUUCUUUCUUAGUUUUUCAAAACGAAUUCCUCUUUCCUUUUUUGGCAACUUCUUAAUUCUAACUUUCCACAUGACAUAUUUUAAGGUCACAAGAUUGAAGGGCAUUUCGGUAUAUUCCACAUAUCUUUAGUUUAAGACCACAAGAUUAACAGUCUUCUUUAUUUUCUUAAACUCCGUGCCAAGUCAAAACCAACCAAACAAAUUGAAAUGGAGGGAGUUUUUUUUUCCUUACCCCUCCCCAGGGUUCCAGACUUUUGCUCCUUUGGUGACUUGAACCACAAUCUUAGAGUUGGAGGUGGGACGUGCUUACCAUCCGUGCAACUCCGAGUCUGAAAUGGAGGGACUAACUAUCAAAAAGGUAUUAUUAAGGUGUGUGUGUGUGGGGGGGGGAGGUUGGAGAAGAGAAAGAGGUCAUGAGAACUAUCAACUUGUACAGUCCAACCGUUUAAGUGGCUAUUCUUUUAACUUAACUAUUGGCGAUUUUUAUACCUCUUGCUGAUUAUCAUUCUCAAUUUAGAAGGCUCUGAUAACAUGAGAAGAACUCAGCUUUUCAGGUUUACUAAAUGAUGUUCAGAACCUUUAAAUGGUGUAUAAGGUUGAUGUAAAGCUUUGCAGAUCCUUGAAUCCAUUUUGAGUUGACCAUAAAGUUAAUCCUUUUUACGCUUGCCACUAGAGCAGCAAACUCUUUUUCUACUUCUCGCUGUACUUAUCAUUAGCUAGUCCGUUCAACUGUUUUCUUUCUGCUACAGUUGUGCCCUUCAUAUCCACACAAUCCAGAGGUUUGUCUGAAUGACAUGCGAUCCCCUGCUGAACUUCUCGAAUUCGGGCGAUUUUCAAACUGCAUGGAAUUUGGAAUGGAUAGUGGGGCUCCUCUUCAAGUUGUUAACCCUGGUUUUGAUUAUGUGGCACCUGAGCUUGUCAGCCUUCUCAUCACCGACAUGUGAGGAUUCUUUACCAUUUUCGAAUUUUUAUUUGUCUUUGCAACAACGAUGCCUCAAUCCCGAACUAAUUUUGGCUUGCACAUAACAAAGUAGCUUGGAUAAUACAGUUCUACAUUGUAUCAUCUACUAAUAUACAGGAAUCUUUUGUUUUGUUAUGUUUAGUAUAGGUUAAAUAAUUAAUUCAUGUUCCAUUCAGUAUUGAUGAUUCAAUUUACUUUUCAAAAAAAGAAGUAAAUUGGACUUAGACAGACUUAAGGAUCAACAUGGACCAUGAGGAUUAGCCGACCCCACCUUGCUUGGGAUUGAGGUUUAGUGGUUGUUGUGUUUAAGAGGGCGUGCAAGGGGAAUUCGUAAUGUAUUAAUUUGCCACUUUGGGAAUUAAUAAGCAGUUUUAUGAUAAUAAUACUCCUUGCAUCUUUCUGAUCUACAGUGGAGGGCAUAACCCGUCAUAUAUGUAUCGUCUCAUAUCGGACUACUACUCAGCUGAUGAUUUUGAUUUGCAAGGGAGGAUACAUAAAUGAAGGUGAUUCUUCCUUUAAAUUCUGGCUUUGACUUCCAAAUAAUCUUUCUGAACAUUGAACAUGUUUGUUGGCCAUUUUUAGGAGAAAAAAUUGACUGCUUCAGCAAUGAAAGCUACUUUUAUUAUUUAACCCUGGUUAAUUUGCUAUCUUCUGUACAUAAUGUCAAAUAAAAAUAUAAGAAAAUGAAUCUUUUUAUAAAGCGUCUAUAAACGCAUCAGAAUCUAUAGCAUAGCAAGAACUAUAAAGAAGGAAAGAAAAGCAAAACAAAGUUUUAUCUCAAUUUCAGACUACUGCAUUUCCUAGCCUUGGAUUAACUUGAUUCAGUGCUUAUAUUGGGUGCGAGUAAGUUUUUACCUCCUGAAAUCAAUCUUUGUUGGCGAGUUACUAUGUAUCUUUCGUCUAUUAGACUCUUACUACGACCAUACAAAAACUUGUGUGAUUGUUGCUUUAAUGAGUUUUUUGUUUUUGCAGAAAGUAUCUUGAAGCUCCUUACUGAAUUUAAGCAAUACAUGCUGAUUUCAGGCAUCUUUUGGAGAGCUGUAGUUGACUGAUGAAGAGAAGUGGCAACCAAAAAAUCAAAUGGAAUGUGUUUGUUAUCUACUUUGGUGGAUAGCUUUAAAUGAGCUUUUUAGCAUAAACACUUUCUGAACAUACUGUACUUUGUUCAGACUAAGUUUUGACUUGUUUAAUGUAAUGUAAUGUGUCCAAGGUGGUAAUAUUAGUUUGUUUCGUUCUUGUUAUAGAUGAAUGUUUAGAUGAACUUUACCUCUUGAAUUACAUCAAUCCUUAUAUGCAUUUGUCUCUCUUGAAUGUAAAGGUUAAACGAGUAUCGCGCACACACAAAUAUAUACCUCACAGGUCUUUCGAGAGGUUAAAGAGCAUCUAACGCAAAAAGGACCUUUCAUUCCCUUUUUUGCUUGUGCAUAACCACUCUUCAGAAGCACCCCCAGCAUAGAGGGACCAAAAAACACCUUUCGUUCUUCACCCUUAGUCCGCGACUAAGUGGGGAUUAUCUGAACUUCAGAAGCAGUGUCAACAGCCUGCAUUUCCAGGUUAAAUUGUUCUUUUUUAAGAUAUGAGAGAAUAUUGUUGGUAUUCAUGAAAGUAGGUGAUCAAGAUAUGAUUGGAGAGUAAUAUCAUGAAAGCAUAUAACUACAAAUUAACAAGCAAUGCCAAAAAAUAAAGUUAUGGUUUUUGAGGGCAUCAAAAUUAGUGUCCAAACAAAUAUGCUCUCAGGUUCCAGGUUCUACUUCUUGCUGAGAUCAAUUCCAGCUUUCUUGGCUACAGCAUCAAGUCCAUUUUUCUCAAUGGUCUUUAUGGCCUUUGUUGAAAGCCUCAGUUUCACGAAUCGCUUGCCUUCCUCCCACCAAAUUCUCUUGUAUUGAAGGUUUACGAAUUGCAACUUUUUCGUUUUGUGGUUUGAAUGAGAGACCUUGUUUGCCCUGUUGGACUUCUUGCCAGUGAAGGGGCAUAUUCUACCUGAAAAAACAGAAUGUACUCUUUUAAUAUUCUAUACCGUACUUAUCACAAAGAGGAGACAAGAUAUUUGAGCACAACCGACAAAAAUGCAUGAAAGCAAGGGGGAAGGAAAGAUCAUGAUGGUGUAAGGCAAAGGAUGAUUCAAUAGGAAUAUUUGAUUACUCUUGUCCCUAAUUUUUUUUUUAUUUUACCUAUUAGCUCAAAGGCUUUAAGUAGUUUUGGACUUAAAAGACAAAGGAAUUCAGGAUGCAGUUUGACAAAUGCAGCAACAUUAGAAAGGGAGUCAAAGCAAGAGUGUCAGUGAUAUAGUGCUCCUAAUGACUCUCAUAAUGUGCUUUCUGAUUAGUAAACUAAAGCUUCAUCAAUAAUCUAAAAGCCAAAUACUGCCAUUACUGGACAUUACAAAAGAAGUCAACCCUUCACAGUUUGUUGUCAUACAAUGAGCACGAAUUAAUCAAGUUGUUAUCAUCAUAUUCAAAAUAUAAUGUACACCAGAGGGGCUAACACACCGAAGAUUCAAUUUCUGUAGAUUUUUCCUUCCAAAUCUGCAGCUAACACACUCUCUCAGGCUCUCAUAAUUGGUUUCGCCUUCUUUUUCACUAGUUUGGUCACUAAGGAUAAGGACACAAGUGGGUAAGUAAAUAUUAAAAAAUUACACAGUGCAGAAGGUGGAUUUGAGAGGUAAAUGAAUUUACCAUAUUCUUGAUAGCGAGAAAUCUACUUUCAUAAGCUUUGGAUCUCAUUAAGCUUUUAUUUCACUAUUAGGCUGCAAGUUUCAUGGAGAGAAGAAUAGGCAGAUGGCAAGCUCCAGACAAUGAAAACUUGCCAAAAGGAAAUCCUGUUCAUUAUCAGGAAAGGUGAAAGCAAGAAAAUGAAGCUCUGUCUUUAGGCUGCACUCAGUUAAUGAGACCUAAAAGGCCUCAACAAGAAGUAUAAUAUCUUCUCAUGCAUAUAGUAUUUCUUUUGUAGCUUUGUCUAUAAAUUGCAGCAUAGGAAUGCAAACUUUGUUAACCAAAAAACUGUUGAUACCAUCUAUAUAAGAAAUUUAUCCUAAAAUACUUUAUAAUCCUUUACUUGGACAAUCUGUUAUGUCUUAAAUAUCGGCAAUCCCUAAGUCAGAGAACAAAGAGCCAAGGAGGAAAAAGCCAGGGAUCAUUUAGUAUAUGAAGACAACUAUGGACAAACUUCCAAACUAUAUAUCAUAUUCUAUCAAUCUUGUUCUUAUUAAUGCAGUUAACACUGCAACUCCCUUAAAUCAGUUUGAUGUAGUCCAUCAAGCUCUUCCCAGUUCUUUAAUUUUGCACAUGAUGAGGUUGUCCUAUCCCUAUUUAUUGCGACUGGACUUUUAAACCCCUGGAAUGAUGACACCCCUUUAAUCUCCUCUAGAAGUAAGAAAACAUAAGAGGUUGUUUAGAUAGUAGACUAUAAUAUGGUUUUUAAUCAUUGAUUUUGAUGUGUAACUUGAUAUGUGAAUUAUAGUCAAGUGCUCAGUUUACCAUACGACAGAUUUCAAGAAAACAAUACAUUUAGUUUGCAAAUUGCAACUGAAUUAAACUUUUUCCAACUUUAGCUAUGUCUUCGGAUCCUCCACAUUGUAAGGGAUAAUUUUCAUCCCAUAUCAGCAGUACUAACUUUCACUUGUUACUGAACAAUCUAACGUGAUGUGUUGUUAACACAAAGCAGACAUCUGAAUUCUAGACACCAGACUACUAAAUGGGGACUCUGGUAUGGAAGUAGCAAUUAUCUGAGUACCAAACAACCUCAUGAUGAUUUCGGUCCCGUGACCCUUCGAGUAAGGCCACUUCACACACACACACACACACAAAAAAGGCUCCCUGCACCAAAAUGAUGAUUUAUCGUAUUAACAUUUUAAAGUUAUCAUCUUUUCUUGUUUCCCCAUCAAUGUUCAAGAAGAACUUACUAUCCCUAGUUCAAGGGUAGAGGGACCGAAGGUGUAUACCAUACAAUAUCCCUUUAUAUUUGAUCCAAUUAAUCGAAAUUCAGAAGCUGAAAUUUCACCUCUACCAUCAAUAGGUCUACUAGGUUAAUAUUUCCGCCCCUCAAACACGUAACCUUCAGGUCAGCAAAGGAGCAACCUUGCAAUUGCACCAAAACUCUUUUUUUAUUUUAAAUAAUGGUAAUGUCGGGUCAGUUUGCACAUACUUGAACAACCAUUACCUUAAGUAACAAGUACUUAAGAAAACUUCAAAUCCUCAGAUACAAUUUCUUUAUGACAAUUGUGGUGUAUGGCCCGUAUGUGCGCACCUCGACUAAUUCUAAGGUUACCUACUGCCUCCCACAAGCACAAUUUCUUACACAUAAGUCACUUCAUUAACGAAACCCAACAGUUCACUCCAACAAACAAAACAACAAACAGUUCAUGUGCACAUCAUUAGACCAAAAAAAAAAAACCAACAACUAAAAACACAAAGAACACAACAAAAUGGUAGAGAAAUUACGAGCAACAGGUUGAAGGGCUGUCUUGAAAGGAACAGAAAGUGAAGCAGGAGAGCUCAAAUUGGUGCUUGAAAUCUUGAUACCACUCAAUUGAGAAGUGAGAAAACUCAACUCUGAGCUCAAUUUCAACUUGGGUAAAGCCCUUUUGGUUACUGCAAAUGUCCUGUUACCACUGACUGCUGGCCCUCUGAGGCUUAUACCUGCCGUGAUUGUCGCCAUUUUUGCUCCAAUUCCUCAAAGCAAGAAUCUUUUUUUUUCUCUCAAGAAUGUUGUUUUUUGAUGAAGGAAGUUAAGAGUGGAUAACGAAAUGGAUGUGGGUAAUGGCUUUAUUUCUUGGCCUUUUGUUUUUUAGCCUUAUGGUGCAAAGGGAUUAUUUUGGCAAUGCUACUUUCUUUUUUCUGUUUGGUAUUCAUAUUCAUUGGACUAAAUUUGAAUUUGUGCAUUGCAAGAUUCAUUUAUGGAAAUAGCGUGUGUUGCAAAAAUAGAAAUGCUUAGACGGAUGUGUUCUCAUAUAUGAUUAGAUAAGAUUAGAACGUUUGUCAAAAGGUGCAAGUAACACGCAUGUGAGGUCGUUUGAGAUGAUGAUUUGUAUGUGUGAAACUAUGGUAAGUGAGUAUGUUAGAUGGAGACUAGGUAAACGUAACUCCACCCGAAAGAAGUUAUCUUGAAAAAACUAUAAAGAUGUCAGCACAAUGUAAAGAAAAAAAUCAUUUGUAUAGGCGAUAAUUACUGGUUGAGGAUAGAUUUGAAAUUUAUUAAAGAAAUACUAUUAUUAUUAUUAUUAUUAUUAUUAUAAUUAUUAUUAUAUAUUUAACUUUUUCUUUUACCUUAGUAUAAUGAUAUAAAGUUAGUUAAAUAAAGGAAUAAGAAUUCAAAUAGCAGACUCCAACUUAAUUGGAACUAAGAUGUUAUCUUAGUUAUGCUUUUAUCUUAUUUCCCAUUAGUUACUCACGUGGAGUCUUAUAUCACAAACCAAACGAAGAGAGUAUUAAGACUAUACCAAAAUCAAAUCAUUACAAUAUUGAACAUCUUUACCCUCUUCAAAUCCUACUCAUCAUAAACCAAACGAAGAGAGUAUUAACACUAUACCAAAUCAAAUCAUUAGAAUAUUGAACGUCUCUACCAUCUUCAAAUCCCACUUAUGGAAUCACACUAAGUAUGCUAUUGUUGUAGUAUAUUAGGAUUAAAUGUCCUUUAUCUCUCGAACCAAACAACCCCUAAAAACUAUCAUCUCAUCAACUGGCCAACAUCAACUAGAACUACAGGCACAAGAUAUUUAGGAAAAAUAACAAGGCAAAUAAGUAGAAGAUUUCAAGAAGCCAUAAGAUUGUGCUCCUAUAUAUUGUAACUUGUAAGUAGUAGGUAAACUGUUGCAACCUAAAAACAAAGUUGUUAAUUUUUAGAUAACAUAUUACAAAUGGCUCAUUCCUUCAUCCCAUUCUACUGGGAUAAAACAUGUAUUCCGCUUCAAAUCGGGUACGACUCUCGCACUAGCAAAAGGUUAACCAAGGCAUCUCAAUAUGGUAAAAAUUGCAAACAGUUAAGCAUCGCGAAAUCCUAUGUUAACGUCGUUCAAGUUUGGGGAGAUCUGCAUAAGGCAUUGAAUGGGCCAAAAGAAAUUAGUUUUGUUAAGCAAACUUUGUCUGAUAGAGAUCAAGGGGAACAUACUCCACAGUCACUAUCCGGUCAUCAAACAGUCGUCCAUGUAAACAAUGAGCAGCCAUGCUUGCAGCUUCUGCUCUUCUAAACUCCACAAGUACACAGCCAGGAUCGAACGCCUCAGUAAUAGAAAUUUCUUCCUUUUUCUCAAGUUCCUCUGGAGCAUCCAACUCUUCUUUCGAUGAGAAUUCUGGUUCAGAAGCUCCAUCUGCAUUUCCAUUGUCUUCCUCUGACUUAAUUGCUUCCUUAACUGGUGAUUCAUUGUUUAUCUCAAGAUGCUCCAGUGGACUGGGAUUAGCAUUUUCAUCUUUCCUUUCUGAAACCAUACCAGUAUGGGUAACCUCGAAAUUUUCUUGGAAGUUUGUCUCUUGAGCAGAGACACUACUGUCAUCUGGUAGAGGGUCAGAGCUGUCGUCUUUUAUUAGCUCCUCAGAAGGUCUAUCAUCGGAAUGACUGCCACCAGCCAAAGCAUCGUCAUCUCCAGCCUUUUGAGAAUCACCUUGUGAAGUUUCUGAUAUAUGUGUUUUACUAUCAGCUUCCUCAUCACUAUUGGUUUCCAUGGGUUCAUCACUGUUGGGGAAGUGUGGCCUACCAACUUCCAACUCAUGAUCAUCACUGUUGGGGAUGUGUGACCCACCAACUUCCAACUCAUGAUGAUCACUGUUGGGGAAGUGUGGCCCACCAACUUCCAACUCGUAAUCAUCACUCCUAGUGAUCGGAUCAUUUCUGUCACACCCUUCCCCAAACUCCAUAUUGCUAUCAUUCAACGUAGAACUAGUAUCCAUAGCAGCAGGAUCAGAUGUGAGAGAACAUUGACUUUGCUUUACAACAUUAAUUGAUUUAACAGAGCCAAACCU